rnacentral:rRNA from 1 species
GGCGAACGGGUGAGUAACACGUGGGCAACCUGCCCCUGGCUCUGGGAUAACUCCAAGAAAUUGGGGCUAAUACCGGAUAUGACCGCUGACCGCAUGGUCUGGUGGUGGAAAGAUUUAUCGGCUGGGGAUGGGCCCGCGGCCUAUCAGCUUGUUGGUGGGGUAGUGGCCUACCAAGGCGACGACGGGUAGCCGGCCUGAGAGGGUGACCGGCCACACUGGGACUGAGACACGGCCCAGACUCCUACGGGAGGCAGCAGUGGGGAAUAUUGCGCAAUGGGCGAAAGCCUGACGCAGCGACGCCGCGUGGGGGAUGACGGCCUUCGGGUUGUAAACCUCUUUCAGCAGGGACGAAGCGCAAGUGACGGUACCUGCAGAAGAAGCACCGGCCAACUACGUGCCAGCAGCCGCGGUAAUACGUAGGGUGCAAGCGUUGUCCGGAAUUAUUGGGCGUAAAGAGCUCGUAGGCGGUUCGUCGCGUCGGCUGUGAAAACCUGAGGCUCAACCUCAGGCCUGCAGUCGAUACGGGCGGACUUGAGUACUGCAGGGGAGACUGGAAUUCCUGGUGUAGCGGUGAAAUGCGCAGAUAUCAGGAGGAACACCGGUGGCGAAGGCGGGUCUCUGGGCAGUAACUGACGCUGAGG